UACGUAGGGGGCAAGCGUUGUCCGGAAUUAUUGGGCGUAAAGCGCGCGCAGGCGGUCUUUUAAGUCUGAUGUGAAAGCCCACGGCUUAACCGUGGAGGGUCAUUGGAAACUGGAGGACUUGAGUGCAGAAGAGGAGAGUGGAAUUCCACGUGUAGCGGUGAAAUGCGUAGAGAUGUGGAGGAACACCAGUGGCGAAGGCGGCUCUCUGGUCUGUAACUGACGCUGAGGCGCGAAAGCGUGGGUAGCGAACAGG
rnacentral:rRNA from 1 species